GGGUUUACUCCGAGACGGAAACUCUGACCGAUAAUCAGACUAGAGAGGUUAAACUCCUCUUAAACCCU
rnacentral:tRNA from 1 species